rnacentral:rRNA from 1 species
CCUACGGGAGGCAGCAGUGAGGAAUAUUGGUCAAUGGACGAGAGUCUGAACCAGCCAAGUAGCGUGAAGGAUGACUGCCCUAUGGGUUGUAAACUUCUUUUAUAUGGGAAUAAAACAGGGUAUGCAUACCCUCUUGUAUGUACCAUAUGAAUGAGGAUCGGCUAACUCCGUGCCAGCAGCCGCGGUAAUACGGAGGAUCCGAGCGUUAUCCGGAUUUAUUGGGUUUAAAGGGAGCGUAGGUGGAUUGUUAAGUCAGUUGUGAAAGUUUGCGGCUCAACCGUAAAAUUGCAGUUGAAACUGGCAGUCUUGAGUACAGUAGAGGUGGGCGGAAUUCGUGGUGUAGCGGUGAAAUGCUUAGAUAUCACGAAGAACUCCGAUUGCGAAGGCAGCUUACUGGACUGCAACUGACACUGAUGCUCGAAAGUGUGGGUAUCAAACAGGAUUAGAUACCCUGGUAGUC